rnacentral:rRNA from 1 species
UUGUUGGUAAGGUAAAAGCUUACCAAGGCUUCGAUCAGUAGCUGGUCUGAGAGGACGACCAGCCACACUGGGACUGAGACACGGCCCAGACUCCUACGGGAGGCAGCAGUGGGGAAUUUUGGACAAUGGGGGCAACCCUGAUCCAGCCAUGCCGCGUGAGUGAAGAAGGCCUUCGGGUUGUAAAGCUCUUUCAGCCGGAACGAAACGGUUACGGAUAAUACCCGUGACUACUGACGGUACCGGAAGAAGAAGCACCGGCUAACUACGUGCCAGCAGCCGCGGUAAUACGUAGGGUGCAAGCGUUAAUCGGAAUUACUGGGCGUAAAGCGUGCGCAGGUGGUUUUGUAAGUCAGAUGUGAAAGCCCCGGGCUCAACCUGGGAACUGCGUUUGAAACUACAAGACUAGAGUGUGGCAGAGGGGGGUGGAAUUCCGCGUGUAGCAGUGAAAUGCGUAGAGAUGUGGAGGAACACCGAUGGCGAAGGCAGCCCCCUGGGUUAACACUGACACUCAGGCACGAAAGCAUGGGGAGCAAACAGGAUUAGAUACCCUGGUAGUCCAUGCCCUAAACGAUGUCAACUAGUUGUCGGGCCUUUACGGGCUUGGUAACGUAGCUAACGCGUGAAGUUGACCGCCUGGGGAGUACGAUCGCAAGAUUAAAACCCAAAUGAAUUGACGGGGACCCGCACAAGCGGUGGAUUAUGUGGAUUAAUUCGAUGCAACGCGAAAAACCUUACCUACCCUUGACAUGUAUCGAAGCCCGCAGAAAAGCGGGGGUGCCCGAAAGGGAACGAUAACACAGGUGCUGCAUGGCUGUCGUCAGCUCGUGUCGUGAGAUGUUGGGUUAAGUCCCGCAACGAGCGCAACCCUUGUCAUUAAUUGCCAUCAUUUAGUUGGGCACUUUAAUGAGACUGCCGG